AUUUAUAUAAUAUAUUUAGUAUAUUUGACUUCCAAUCAAAAAGUUUUUAUUUAAAUA
rnacentral:tRNA from 1 species